ensembl:rRNA 5_8S_rRNA 5.8S ribosomal RNA
GACUUUUAGUGGUGGAUCACUCGGCUGCUGCGUCAAUGAAGAAUGCAGCUAGCUGGGAGAAUUAAUGUGAACCGCAGGACACAUUGAUCAUUGACACUUCGAAUGCACUUGCGGCCCGGGUUCCUCCUAGGGCUAUGCCUGUCUGAGCGUCG